AGAGCGAACGCUGGCGGCGUGCUUAACACAUGCAAGUCGAGUGCGCGCCUGUAGCAAUACAGGUGGCGCACGGCGCACGGGUGCGUAACACGUGGGUAAUCUGCCCUUCGAUGGGGAAUAACUCCGGGAAACCGAAGCUAAUUCCGCAUAACAUUCCUUGAACUUCGGUUUGGGGACUCAAAGCCGUAAGGCGUCGGAGGAGGAACCCGCGCACGAUUAGCUAGUUGGUAGGGUAACGGCCUACCAAGGCUUUGAUCGUUAGCUGGUCUGAGAGGAUGGCCAGCCACACUGGAACUGAGACACGGUCCAGACUCCUACGGGAGGCAGCAGUGGGGAAUCUUGCACAAUGGGCGAAAGCCUGAUGCAGCGACGCCGCGUGGGGGAUGAAGCUUUUCGGAGUGUAACCCCUUUCGACCCGGACGAAUGCCCCGCAAGGGGACUGACGGUACGGGUAUAAGACGCCCGGCUAACUACGUGCCAGCAGCCGC
rnacentral:rRNA from 1 species